rnacentral:rRNA from 1 species
CGGACCUUGCGCUAAUAGAUGAGCCUAAGUCGGAUUAGCUAGUUGGUGGGGUAAAGGCCUACCCAGGCGACGAUCUGUAGCGGGUCUGAGAGGAUGAUCCGCCACACUGGGACUGAGACACGGCCCAGACUCCUACGGGAGGCAGCAGUGGGGAAUAUUGGACAAUGGGGGGAACCCUGAUCCAGCCAUGCCGCGUGUGUGAAGAAGGCCUUAUGGUUGUAAAGCACUUUAAGCGAGGAGGAGGCUACUUUAGUUAAUACCUAGAGAUAGUGGACGUUACUCGCAGAAUAAGCACCGGCUAACUCUGUGCCAGCAGCCGCGGUAAUACAGAGGGUGCAAGCGUUAAUCGGAUUUACUGGGCGUAAAGCGCGCGUAGGCGGCUAAUUAAGUCAAAUGUGAAAUCCCCGAGCUUAACUUGGGAAUUGCAUUCGAUACUGGUUAGCUAGAGUGUGGGAGAGGAUGGUAGAAUUCCAGGUGUAGCGGUGAAAUGCGUAGAGAUCUGGAGGAAUACCGAUGGCGAAGGCAGCCAUCUGGCCUAACACUGACGCUGAGGUGCGAAAGCAUGGGGAGCAAACAGGAUUAGAUACCCUGGUAGUCCAUGCCGUAAACGAUGUCUACUAGCCGUUGGGGCCUUUGAGGCUUUAGUGGCGCAGCUAACGCGAUAAGUAGACCGCCUGGGGAGUACGGUCGCAAGACUAAAACUCAAAUGAA